GGCUCUGCAGCUCAGCGGUUAGAGCAGUGGUCUUAUAAACCAGCAGUCAUGAGUUCGAAUCUCAUCAGAGCCU